rnacentral:rRNA from 1 species
AGUGAACGCUGGCGGUAGGCCUAACACAUGCAAGUCGAACGGCAGCACAGUAAGAGCUUGCUCUUACGGGUGGCGAGUGGCGGACGGGUGAGGAAUACAUCGGAAUCUACUUUUUCGUGGGGGAUAACGUAGGGAAACUUACGCUAAUACCGCAUACGACCUACGGGUGAAAGCAGGGGAUCUUCGGACCUUGCGCGAUUGAAUGAGCCGAUGUCGGAUUAGCUAGUUGGCGGGGUAAAGGCCCACCAAGGCGACGAUCCGUAGCUGGUCUGAGAGGAUGAUCAGCCACACUGGAACUGAGACACGGUCCAGACUCCUACGGGAGGCAGCAGUGGGGAAUAUUGGACAAUGGGCGCAAGCCUGAACCAGCCAUACCGCGUGGGUGAAGAAGGCCUUCGGGUUGUAAAGCCCUUUUGUUGGGAAAGAAAAGCAGCAGGUUAAUACCCCGCUGUUCUGGCGGUACCCAAAGAAUAAGCACCGGCUAACUUCGUG